GACGAGGGAUCCUAGCGUUGUUCGGAAUCAUUGGGCGUAAAGCGGGUGUAGGUGGCUCUGCAAGUCAAGUGUGAAAGCCCCGGGCUUAACCUGGGAAGUGCAUUUGAUACUGCUGAGCUUGAGUGCUGGAGAGGUCAUUAGAAUUCCUGGUGUAGUGGUGAAAUACGUAGAUAUCAGGAGGAAUACCGGAGGCGAAGGCGGAUGGCUGGCCAGACACUGACACUCAGACCCGAAAGCGUGGGGAUCAAACAGG
rnacentral:rRNA from 1 species